rnacentral:rRNA from 1 species
ACCCGCACAAGCGGUGGAUGAUGUGGAUUAAUUCGAUGCAACGCGAAAACCUUACCUACCCUUGACAUGUCCGGAAUCCCGAAGAGAUUUGGAGUGCUCGCAAGAGAACCGUAACACAGGUGCUGCAUGGCUGUCGUCAGCUCGUGUCGUGAGAUGUUGGGUUAAGUCCCGCAACGAGCGCAACCCUUGUCAUUAGUUGCUACAUUCAGUUGGGCACUCUAAUGAGACUGCCGGUGACAAACCGGAGGAAGGUGGGGAUGACGUCAAGUCCUCAUGGCCCUUAUAGGUGGGGCUACACACGUCAUACAAUGGAUGGUACAAAGGGUCGCCAACCCGCGAGGGGGAGCCAAUCCCAUAAAGCCAUUCGUAGUCCGGAUCGCAGUCUGCAACUCGACUGCGUGAAGUCGGAAUCGCUAGUAAUCGUGGAUCAGAAUGUCACGGUGAAUACGUUCCCGGGUCUU